rnacentral:lncRNA from 13 species
GAAGAUUUGAUUGAGCCUUAUUGUUGACAGCACAUCUGUCUGGAGCAGCUGCAGGGGCCAGGCACUAUUCCGGGUACUGUGGGCAGAAGUGGAAUGAGAGACGUAGCAGAGGCUCCCGCAAGGUUUAUGGUCAAGGUGGGAAGGCAGGAUAGACACAUGGAACCGAAAUAUGUCUUCAUUCGUCAGAACUCUGGGCUGCAAAUGACUGAUACCUACUCAACUAGCUUAGGCAAACAGGACGUUGAUGAUGAGAAUGCUGUGGGUGAGGAGUUCAAGAGUCGUCAAUCAUCACCUUUGAAAAUUUUCCCCGUGGUCUAGCUCCGCAUUCUCCAACACGGUAACCACCAGUCGCAUGUCGAGCACUUGAAAUGUGGCCAGUCGGAAUCAAGAUGACUUAUAGUACAAAAUACACAAUGGAUUCCGAAGAGUAAGUACAAAAGAAGAAUAUACAAUACAUAGCUUUCUAAUAAUUUUUAGAUGUGGUUGAAUCUUAAAGACAUUAUGCUGAGUCAAGAAAGUCAAUUGCAAAAGGUUACACACUGCACUCUUCCAUUUACUUGACAUUCUUAAGAAGACCAAACUUGGUGGUGGAAAUCAGUUGAGUGUUGCCAGAGAUGAGGGGUUGGAGUAAGGCGGAAUGCCAUGUGGGUAGUGCAGAGAAAAAGUUUUGGGGUGAUGGAACUGUUCUGUUCUCUGCAGUCAUAGUUACAUGUAUUUAUUACAUGUGUUAAAAUUCAUAGAACGGAACACCAAAAGAUAAAAAAAUGUUCAUUUUACUGUAUAAUUUUUUUAAUUUUAUUUUUAAAAAUUUUCAAAUUUCAUUUGUGGCCAGCAUUAUGUUACUAUUGGACCAUGCUGG